AUAUAAAAAGCAAGACAACAUUAGAUCUGGAAGUUCACGACAAAGUGGGAAAUAUAUUCUAUGUUCCAAAAGUAAACCAAGAUGAUGGAUCGUCACUAAGUAGAUACAAUAGUUAGGUUAUUAGAUAGCCAAAGCAUGAAUCGUCACUAAGUACAUCCAAUAGUUGUGUUAUUACAUGGCCAAAGCAAGCCAGAGUGGCGGUGCGAGAUAAGUCCAACCAAACACUCACAAAGAACCUAUAUAGUUCUGCUGAAGCCUAAUAUUUGAUGGCUUCACUUGGUCGUAUCGUUGACUAACUCCUCACAUGCCAUGUCAUAUGAACCUGUUGUGAUCAUAUUGUUUAGCCGAUGAAAUCACAGGGAACAUUUGAUGGAUAGUAUGAUGACAACCUUGUAACCGACCAUGUCAAAGCAGGUAGACAGUGAGCAACAGUUUGCUCCUUGUAGCAUUGUACACAGAAGACACAUAUCUGACAUUCUCCAAUCUCUGCUUUCUUCACAAGUCUGACCAAUUAGUUGUUAUGGUGGCUCUUCCAUGAACUCCCUUUAUAAGUUGGACAUGCUCCUUAGCUCACCCACAUGCAAGUUUAAUCCACAUGUCCUAGAUUGAUGGUUUGAGUUAUUUGUAAGGUAUUUCCUUGUGAAUGGAACUGAGAAAUACUGGAAGCAGGGACGAUAAGAUUCGUGAUCAUUGAUAAUUGAAGUUCAUUUGCGUCAAGGAAAAUGUGUAGAGAGCUCUCACCAUCCUUUGACAGGGAGCGGUGAAGGUCUUGUUCAUCUCAUAUAUGUAAUACCUGAUGGCAGGCUUGUUUGAACCAACAAAAUGCUUGAGUCAACCAAGUUCGCAUGGAGACAUUUUUAGCUUCUUUGCAUAGAAAAUAUCCAAGGUCUGUACCAUAGUGGACACGCGGUCCUGCGUAUCAAGCAUAAGAAUUUAGCAUUAGAGAAGUGAGAAAUAUGGGUUUCAACAGACAUAAAAUAGUAAAAAUGCAACUGCUUCAAGGUGGAAAUGUAUUAAAUAAUUUAUUUCUGUGAUGUAACAUCUAAAAUGAUUUUGGAUCUUACCAAAGCUCAGUUUCUCGGUUACACAAGCCUGAUCACCUAGUUGUGCACUAAGCAAAUAUAUAAAACAAAGUUGUAUCUGGUAAAGGAAAAGUGCAAAUGUACAGACAAACAUUUAGCUGAUAUAAAAGGAAAAUGUAGGCACCUCUUUGGAGACAUGGGGAACAAUUAACAAUAGCAUUGAUGAUAGCAUCACCCAUGUAAAACACCCAUAAGGCAACUUCCCAUGUAUGUGAUCACUGCAGUUGUUUCUUCAUCAUCCAGGAGCCCAGCAUCGCCACUUUCUCUAGUUAUUUUAAAUUUAAG
rnacentral:lncRNA from 1 species